GCCCGUCGCUCCUACCGAUUGGAUGACUCGGUGAAAUCACCGGAUGCUUACGAGCAGAAAGUGAUUAAAUCACGUUAUCUAGAGGAAGGAGAAGUCGUAACAAGGUAACGGUAGGUGAACCUGCCGUUGGAUCAGUUCUAGUUUUAAUAACUAACAC
rnacentral:rRNA from 1 species